GCCUAACAAUGCAAGUCGAACGAAGCACUUUCAUGGAUCUCUUCGGAGUGAAGCGAUCGUGACUUAGUGGCGGACGGGUGAGUAACGCGUGGGGAACCUGCCCCGUACAGGGGGAUAACAGUUAGAAAUGACUGCUAAUACCGCAUAAGCGCACACUGAGGCAUCUCAGAGUGUGAAAAGCCGAGACGGUACGGGAGGGCCCCGCGUCUGAUUAGCUAGUUGGUGGGGUAACGGCCUACCAAGGCGACGAUCAGUAGCCGAACUGAGAGGUUGAUCGGCCACAUUGGGACUGAGACACGGCCCAGACUCCUACGGGAGGCAGCAGUGGGGGAUUUUGCACAAUGGGGGGAACCCUGAUGCAGCGACGCCGCGUGAGUGAAGAAGUAUUUCGACACGUAAAGCUCUAUCAGCAGGGAAGAAAAUGACGGUACCUGACUAAGAAGCCCCGGCUAACUACGUGCCAGCAGCCGCGGUAAUACGUAGGGGGCAAGCGUUAUCCGGAUUUACUGGGUGUAAAGGGAGCGUANGCGGCAAGGCAAGUCAGAAGUGAAACCCGUCGGCUUAACCGACGACCUGCUUUUGAAACUG
rnacentral:rRNA from 1 species